UCUGCAACCUCUUCUCCUUUUUUGACCCACCCUCCUAGGAUCCUUCUCCUCCUACCCAAUGAUCCUAGCCUCUGCUGUUGCCAAUCUCCUUGCAUCCGCCUCCUCUCUGGCACUGUCGAGAUCUUCGGCAUUGAGAUCUUCAAUGCCGGCACCUCGCCCUUCAGUCCCGCAUCUUCUAUACUUUCACCAUCAAUAUCCACCCCACCGCCCGCCUCUGUCACCGACCUCCUCGCUGUUUGCCACC
rnacentral:lncRNA from 1 species